GGUUAAGCGACUAAGCGUACACGGUGGAUGCCCUGGCAGUCAGAGGCGAUGAAGGACGUGCUAAUCUGCGAUAAGCGUCGGUGAGGUGAUAUGAACCGUUAUAACCGGCGAUUUCCGAAUGGGGAAACCCAGUGUGUUUCGACACACUAUCAUUAACUGAAUCCAUAGGUUAAUGAGGCGAACCGGGGGAACUGAAACAUCUAAGUACCCCGAGGAAAAGAAAUCAACCGAGAUUCCCCCAGUAGCGGCGAGCGAACGGGGAGGAGCCCAGAGCCUGAAUCAGUGUGUGUGUUAGUGGAAGCGUCUGGAAAGGCGCGCGAUACAGGGUGACAGCCCCGUACACAAAAAUGCACAUGCUGUGAGCUCGAUGAGUAGGGCGGGACACGUGGUAUCCUGUCUGAAUAUGGGGGGACCAUCCUCCAAGGCUAAAUACUCCUGACUGACCGAUAGUGAACCAGUACCGUGAGGGAAAGGCGAAAAGAACCCCGGCGAGGGGAGUGAAAAAGAACCUGAAACCGUGUACGUACAAGCAGUGGGAGCCUCUUAAUGGGGUGACUGCGUACCUUUUGUAUAAUGGGUCAGCGACUUAUAUUCUGUAGCAAGGUUAACCGAAUAGGGGAGCCGAAGGGAAACCGAGUCUUAACUGGGCGUUAAGUUGCAGGGUAUAGACCCGAAACCCGGUGAUCUAGCCAUGGGCAGGUUGAAGGUUGGGUAACACUAACUGGAGGACCGAACCGACUAAUGUUGAAAAAUUAGCGGAUGACUUGUGGCUGGGGGUGAAAGGCCAAUCAAACCGGGAGAUAGCUGGUUCUCCCCGAAAGCUAUUUAGGUAGCGCCUCGUGAAUUCAUCUCCGGGGGUAGAGCACUGUUUCGGCAAGGGGGUCAUCCCGACUUACCAACCCGAUGCAAACUGCGAAUACCGGAGAAUGUUAUCACGGGAGACACACGGCGGGUGCUAACGUCCGUCGUGAAGAGGGAAACAACCCAGACCGCCAGCUAAGGUCCCAAAGUCAUGGUUAAGUGGGAAACGAUGUGGGAAGGCCCAGACAGCCAGGAUGUUGGCUUAGAAGCAGCCAUCAUUUAAAGAAAGCGUAAUAGCUCACUGGUCGAGUCGGCCUGCGCGGAAGAUGUAACGGGGCUAAACCAUG
rnacentral:rRNA from 1 species